CCAACAUAGAAAAAACAAAAAAAAAAAAAAAAAAUCACGAUAUUUUGCGAGAACCGAGUUCAAUAAUUGUUUUAUCAUUCACUUAUAAAGCUUCAUUUUAUCUUUCGUUUCAUAUAAGUUCGCCGUCUCUCUUUCUUGCUUUUGCAUAAAACUUGCGAAGGACGUUGACAAGAGUUUCUUUUGAGCCAACUAGAUCGUCUUCGUUGAUCUAUCUUGCUUCUAAAUGCUGACGAAAGACAUUGACGGCGGUUUCAGUCGCUUUUUUGUUUUCCGCGUUUUUUUCUUCAAGUAUAAAGC